rnacentral:rRNA from 1 species
GACGAACGCUGGCGGCGUGCCUAAUACAUGCAAGUCGAACGGAAAGGCGCUGCGCUUGCGUGGCGCUCGUGUAGCGAACGGGUGUGUAAAACGUGUGUAACCUGCCCUUAACAUUGGGAGAACUUCUGGAAAAUCGGGCUAAAACCGGAUAGGAGCUCCUGCUGCACGUUGUGGGUUGGAGAGAUACGGUGGUGUUAGAUGUUUUCGCUGCUUCCCAGCUUGUUAGUGAGGUAGUGGCUUACCAAGGCUUUGACGGAUAGCCCGCAUGAGAGGGUAGCCGGCGACCAUGGUCCUGCGAGACGCCGCAGUCUCCAACGGUAGGCAGCAGUCGCGAAUCUUGCGGAGUGGGCGCAAGCCAGAUGCAGCAACGCUGCGAGCGGGAUGAUGGCCUUCGGGGUGUAAACAGCUGUCUACGGUAAUGUGCAGAGAGUGACGGUAAUGGGUAAAGAAGCGCCGGCUAACUACGUG